rnacentral:rRNA from 1 species
UAGAGUUUGAUCAUGGCUCAGAUUGAACGCUGGCGGCAGGCCUAACACAUGCAAGUCGAGCGGAAACGAUGGAAGCUUGCUUCCAGGCGUCGAGCGGCGGACGGGUGAGUAAUGCAUGGGAAUCUGCCCGAUAGUGGGGGAUAACCUGGGGAAACCCAGGCUAAUACCGCAUACGUCCUACGGGAGAAAGCAGGGGAUCUUCGGACCUUGCGCUAUCGGAUGAGCCCAUGUCGGAUUAGCUUGUUGGUGAGGUAAUGGCUCACCAAGGCGACGAUCCGUAGCUGGUCUGAGAGGAUGAUCAGCCACAUCGGGACUGAGACACGGCCCGAACUCCUACGGGAGGCAGCAGUGGGGAAUAUUGGACAAUGGGCGAAAGCCUGAUCCAGCCAUGCCGCGUGUGUGAAGAAGGCCCUCGGGUUGUAAAGCACUUUCCAG